rnacentral:rRNA from 1 species
GGAUGCGAUCAUACCAGCACUAAAGCACCGGAUCCCAUCAGAACUCCAAAGUUAAGCGUGCUUGGGCGAGAGUAGUACUAGGAUGGGUGACCUCUUGGGAAGUCCUCGUGUUGCAUUUC